rnacentral:piRNA from 1 species
AUCGAUCGGUGAGAGGCUCUGGG